rnacentral:rRNA from 1 species
GACGAACGCUGGCGGCGUGCCUAAUACAUGCAAGUCGAACGCUGAAGAGAGGAGCUUGCUCUUCUUGGAUGAGUUGCGAACGGGUGAGUAACGCGUAGGUAACCUGCCUUGUAGCGGGGGAUAACUAUUGGAAACGAUAGCUAAUACCGCAUAACAAUGGAUGACACAUGUCAUUUAUUUGAAAGGGGCAAUUGCUCCACUACAAGAUGGACCUGCGUUGUAUUAGCUAGUAGGUGAGGUAAUGGCUCACCUAGGCGACGAUACAUAGCCGACCUGAGAGGGUGAUCGGCCACACUGGGACUGAGACACGGCCCAGACUCCUACGGGAGGCAGCAGUAGGGAAUCUUCGGCAAUGGGGGCAACCCUGACCGAGCAACGCCGCGUGAGUGAAGAAGGGUUUCGGAUCGUAAAGGUCUGUUGUAAGUCAAGAACGGGUGUGAGAGUGGAAAGUUCACACUGUGACGGUAGCUUACCAGAAAGGGACGGCUAACUACGUG